GAUGAACGCUGGCGGCGUGCCUAAUACAUGCAAGUCGAGCGAACAGACGAGGCGCUUGCUCCUCUGACGUUAGCGGCGGACGGGUGAGUAACACGUGGAUAACCUACCUAUAAGACGGGGAUAACUUCGGGAAACCGGAGCUAAUACCGGAUAAUAUCUUGAACCGCAUGGUUCAAUAGUGAAAGACGGUGUUGCUGUCACUUAUAGAUGGAUCCGCGCCGCAUUAGCUAGUUGGUAAGGUAACGGCUUACCAAGGCAACGAUGCGUAGCCGACCUGAGAGGGUGAUCGGCCACACUGGAACUGAGACACGGUCCAGACUCCUACGGGAGGCAGCAGUAGGGAAUCUUCCGCAAUGGGCGAAAGCCUGACGGAGCAACGCCGCGUGAGUGAUGAAGGUCUUCGGAUCGUAAAACUCUGUUAUUAGGGAAGAACAAAUGUGUAAGUAACUAUGCACGUCUUGACGGUACCUAAUCAGAAAGCCACGGCUAACUACGUG
rnacentral:rRNA from 1 species